GGACCUGUAGCUCAGUUGGCUAGAGCAAUCGGCUCAUAACCGAUCGGUCGGGGGUUCAAAUCCUCCCAGGUCCA
rnacentral:tRNA from 1 species